CUGGUCGUAGCUCAGCUUGGUGGAGCGCUCGGUUCGGGGCCGAGAAGCCGCAGGUUCAAAUCCUGUCGACCAGAC
rnacentral:tRNA from 1 species